rnacentral:rRNA from 1 species
UACGUAGGGGGCUAGCGUUAUCCGGAAUUACUGGGCGUAAAGGGUGCGUAGGUGGUUUCUUAAGUCAGAGGUGAAAGGCUACGGCUCAACCGUAGUAAGCCUUUGAAACUGGGAAACUUGAGUGCAGAAGAGGAGAGUGGAACUCCAUGUGUAGCGGUGAAAUGCGUAGAUAUAUGGAAGAACACCAGUGGCGAAAGCGGCUCUCUGGUCUGUAACUGACGCUGAGGUUCGAAAGCGUGGGUAGCAAACAGG